CAGAGCUCGGGGAAAGUAGAACAGAUGAACGGGGAAAUUAAAAAGCAACUUACUAAAUUAAUGUUAGAAACGAAAACCUCUUGGAUAAAGUGCUUGCCACUAGCUUUGUUAAGUAUACGCGUGAAGCCCAGGACUGAUCUGGGAAUCUCCCCUUUUGAAAUGCUGUAUGGUAUGCCUUACGAUCUUGAGAUACCCCUUGAUCAUCCCCACCUACAAGAUGAUCAAUUAAAACCUUACCUCACACAAUUGAUAAAUAGACGCGGGGAAUUACAGAAAAAGGGUUUAAUUGUGCAACGUCCUCCUUUGGAUAUGGCAAUCCACAAGAUACAGCCUGGAGAUAAGGUCCUGAUAAAACCUUGGAAAGAAGUUACAUUAACACCACAAUGGGAAGGCCCCUAUGUUGUUUUGCUUACUACAGAAACAGCUGUCCGGACUGUGGAGAAAGGAUGGACACAUGCCAGCCGUGUUAAAGGACCCAUCUGUGACGAGAAGUGGGAGGUCGCUCCAGGAAACAAAGACCUGAAGCUCACAUUGCGACGAACUCGAUAGGUACCGUGGGUUAAGGCAGAGGCUCUCCCCUGAAGAACACUACUGCUGCCGAGAAGAACUAAAACCUCGUAGUUGGCUGCAACCCAACUGACGAGUGAGGCAGAGGAGUGAAUAAGUGGGGAAAGAAAUGGUCCUCAGCCAUUCCUAUCGGUAUUUAGGGGUUCUCGCAGUGAUUUCAUCCUGCAUAGCGACUCAACACCACCCCCACCAACCCUUUAAAUGGACUUUAAGUCGAUUCGAGGAUCAACAGGAGGACAACGCAGAAACUUUGAUGCUCAGCAAGCAAAUAUUGCAAAAAUUCAAUGAACAAAA